ACUCCCAUGCCUCAACGAAAAAGAACCAGCGAAAAAACCUACGAAAUAAAACCUACGAAGAAAAACAAUGAAAAAAAAGCAGGCGACUCGCACGCACGAGCGAGAGUGCCCUCGAGCGAGGCCUCCAGAUUUCGCCGCCGCUCUCGCACUUGCCGUCGCCGAUGCCUGCGCUACCUCGACGGAAGCCAUCGCAAAUCCAUCCCUUCGCCGCCGCCCUCGCGCUCGCAUCAAGGAUCGAGGACUCCAGAGUGCCCUAAAUCCCUGCGCUACCUCCGUUCGUCGCCGCCGAUCUCGUCGCUACGUCGCUCGCCACGGGCAGGGAUCGGCGUCUCGCCGGCGUGGAGCGUGGCAGGGGAGAGAAGGGUGGGUAAGAUCGGCGGGGCAGAGUUCAUCCGGAAGGACGGCGCGGUGGACGACAUGUACGGAUACCUCAACUACCUGUCCCUCGAGUAUGACUCGUCUCGGACACCAAUCCUGCUUGGGUAUUUUCAAGGUCCAUGCUUCAAAUAUAAAUAAGAUUUUGUCCUUCUAUCUGAAACUUGAUCUUCUGCUUAUGUUUGCAUUUGCUAUCGAUGAUGUGAAUUUGAGCAAAUACCCCACAACGUUUUCACUGAGUUUGGAUAGCAUAUUUUAUGUAGGUUGGUGAGAAGCGAGGCCGACUCAUAUUUGAUGAAGAAUGAUGUGCAACCAGUAAGAAGAUUAGGAUGGGUAUUCCAGUAAUCCCGUGGAUUAGUCUCUAUAGUUGUUAGCAGCCUAUAAAGCAGAGGGUAUUCCCAUUUAGAAUAUGUUCGUGUGCAUCCACGGCCCCGCCCUCUCUGAAUUGGGGAAUUUCGACCUCCUCUGGCACGCAUGCACCCACGUACUGGAGCUCAUGAUGGAGCAGCACUAAGGCUGAUGCUGAGGGGGCACAUAUGGACAGCGCCGCCUUGCGUCUCAGCAACUCUAUGGCUCGCACCUUGAUUCGUUCGCUGACCUCCUCUGGCGCGCAUGCACCCACGUACUAGAGCUUAUGAAUGAGCAGCACUAAGGCUGAUGCUGAGGGGACACAUAUGGACAGCGCUGCCUCGCGUCUCAGCAGCUCUAUGGCUCGCACCUUGAUUUGUUCGUUGCCACACGCCUCAACUGCUUGGCGACGCGCACGAUUGGUGGAGCCACCUGCCACAUGACUUCGCAGUUCGCGCCUAUUUUGGUUCUUAAGGUUCAUGGCCAUGAUUUUUUUUUGGAAUGCAAAAUUUGGUGCGAGUUCAUAUGAAUCACACAAUGCUUCGCAUAAGUUGGUGCAGAUUUAAUCGGGAACUUUGGUAAUACAAAUCCCCCUCCAUUGCCUCUUUUCAUAGUCAGUCAUCGUUUCUAUUUCGAUUUUGGUAGCUAUGCCUAUCCUUGUUAUAGAUCAUAAGGUUGUCAUCUUCACAGAUCAUGAUAUAUAAGUGAUGCAAAAUGCAGACGACCCACAAUCUAUCUGAAACUAUUUAUCUACAGUUGUGUUCUUUUUGGGGUAUCUGAACAUGUCCUAAAGAUUUUGAAGAAAUGGAUAGCCAAAACGGUGGUGUCUUUGGCCAGAUGAUUUGACCAUCAUCUAUGAUCUGGAAGAAGAACCUCUCACACAAACAUGUAUAUUUAUUUGUGAAUCCAAUCAUAACCAGAAUGUAUUUGACCUUUUACAUUUUCCGACAGAAAGUAUGAGCACCUAAAUUUCUUGGAAUUCAGUAGCUCAUGUCUUGGAUACAUAGGUAUUCCAGUCACUCUAAAUUUCUGUAUGUUUUCGCAUAUAAUUGUCAACUUUUGUACUGCGCAUGCUCCCUUAUCUGUCUUCUCCAUGUUCUCCGGCUGGAAUAUAAUUUGAGAAGAGACUAAAAGUCUGUUUUCUCCAUGUGUACCAGCUCUGGAAGAUAAUUUGGGGAAGAGACUAGAAGUCAACAAAAUGUGUAUUGUGAUUCUGGUCUAAGAACAUUUUUUCUUGUAUAGCAUGUCUUGGAUGAGAAAGGUCGUGAGAACUUCAAUGAAUACUUCAGCACUGCCAACAGAUGCUGACAAAGAUGAAAAAACAUGAGGUUGCUGACAACAUUGAGUGUGACUUGCUUUUGGUGCUACUGCUACUGAAGACAAGCUCCAGAAAAAGGUACUAGAAUGCAUUGAAAAGCUCCCACAAGCAGGAAUUAAGUUCUGUGUGCUGACUGUGACAAAAUGGAUAGCUAUCAAUAUUGGAUAAUCAUCAUCCCGGAAGCACUUGCACCACUGCCUUGAGAAAAACAGAGUGAAAUAAUCUAUUGCCGAGUUGAACAGAUGAUCAAACUGCCUUUAUAUUUAAAAUUAUCGCCUAUGUAAUUUUUUUGGAUGAGUAUAUUUACAACAACCAUUCAUAAAUUUUACAAAAAGGAGUUCAACACAACAAACAUCCACAUUUGGAAUUCUACUCUAUGUAGUCAAAACCUUAAUAAUUACUUCUUAGUGGUUGAUCUCGGCAUGGGAGAGGGAGGGAGGGACGGUCUUUUAGUUUUACCAUUGAAAAAGUUUAUUUUUCUUGACCACCAUAAAAAGGUUAGCGAUCUUACAUUUUGACAUUUUUUUGCAAACCAUGUGGAUGGAAUUUAUUUCGUCAUAGGACAUACCUGUAAAUAUUGUGAAAGUUUACAUGAGAGGUAGGGUACUUAAAAUGGUAAAAGUGAUUGCUAUUUUUUCAAUAGCUUCAGAAGAACACGUAGGUUUUUUCAUGUUUGCAAAUCAUACAUGGGAUUUAUUUCUUGAGGAUAUUUGUUUUGCGAAAACAUGGGAUACUUUUUUCUUCUGACUACUAUUCUGAUUUAUGAAUGAUGGUUUUAAAUAAAUCAAAUUGCCAUAGCAGAUCGGUAGUUAAUAUUUAUGUAGCUUCAAGCUUUCUUUUCUUGUGCCUGAUGAUCGUAGUUGUUUGUGCAGCUUCAAGGUUUAUUUUCUUUUGCUUGAUGAUAGCAAGGUUGAGUAGAUUAUUGCCACACCCUGAUAUGGACGGUCGUCCUUGUAU